rnacentral:rRNA from 1 species
CGUCAAGUCCGUAUGCCCCUUAUGUCCAGGGCUACACACAUGCUACAAUGGGUGGUACAGAGGGUCGCCAACCCGCGAGGGGGAGCCAAUCCCAGAAAGCCACUCUCAGUUCGGAUUGCAGGCUGCAACUCGCCUGCAUGAAGUCGGAAUCGCUAGUAAGCGCAGAUCAGCAGGCUGCGCUGAAUACGUUCCCGGGCCUU